rnacentral:lncRNA from 1 species
AUAUCCAGCCAGAAGAGAGAACUCUGUGGAACUUGUGAGCCUAUAGGAAGGUAGUGUGGGCCUCGGAGGAGGGCCUGAAGAUAGAGGAAGUUCCCAUAAAGUCCAUCAAAGUGAGGAUGUCCAUCUUCAGCCAGAUCUGGAGGGCCCUGGACCCCCAACAGCCCGAGAUGAUUCUCUUUGCAGUGGCCCCAGCAGCCCUCUGAGAUGCAACGCAACAUCCCUGGUCAGCAGGGGCAGCCACCAUAUUCCUCAGUGAUCCAGCCCAGGGCCCAUCAGUGCUUGUGGCCAAGACUUGGGCUGCAGAGGCUGGAAUGUGGUGUCUGAACAACCUGCUGUGCACAGAGAAGGAAGAACAUGAAAAUGUGAGCAAUGAAGCCGACAAUAACCCAUCAUUUAAAUCCUGCUUCUCACACUUUGUCUUGGAAACAAAAGUGAUCCAAGGAAUUCAUGCCCAGUCUCCACCCAACAGAACCCUGCUGAGGCAUCGAUGGCCUUGCAGAUCCUCUCCAGCAGAUGCCACGCUGCCCACGGUCUGCCUGUCCACCUCUGGCAAUGUUAUGUUAGAAGUAAAGAGACAUCCACUUUCAUUAAGCCACUGCAUUUCAGGUCUCUUUAUUAUGACAGCAAAUCAUGGCCCCAAAGGAUGCACUGUGAUUGGACAUUCACCUGUGGCUCUAACACAGCGACACCUCUGCUGGUUCUGCCUGCUCAGCACCAUCCUUCCACCAAGGUGUUGUUCCCACCCAGGCCCGAGGUUCUGUGAGGUGAUGGACACACCCUUCCCAGGCACAGGCAGGUGGCCCAGGUCUGAGUGGUCAUGGCUCCCCAUCCUGUUCAGGGUUAUAAGUUCACGGGUUGGACAUGAGACCCAACUGUAGUCCUCCCAUUAGACUCUCAGUAUGGUGAGAGAGAGUAUUUGUAAUUAUUGUGCAUUGUGGCGGGAGAGGGAAACCAACCCCAAGCAGAACCAGAGGCAAUCAGAGAGAGGGGAGGAGGAAGCUCGACAAUGGCGUCUCAGCCCCUGGGUCUAGCUGUACCUGCAGCACCUUUAGAUGUAAGUGAUCCAUGAUUGUGAGCUGAAUUUCUGUCACUUGCAACCAAGAGUCCCAUCUCUUUCCCCAAUAAUAAAAUAAACAUGUUUGGGAGUGAUUUUAUAUAA